ACCACUGAGCCACCUUCCCAGCCCAUAAUAAAUUUUUUUUAAAAAAGCAGCUCUAGGGCUGGGAAGGUGGCUCAGUGGU
rfam:Dipodomys ordii contig_81633, whole genome shotgun sequence.